GAUGAACGCUGGCGGCGUGCCUAAUACAUGCAAGUCGAGCGAACAGACGAGGAGCUUGCUCCUCUGACGUUAGCGGCGGACGGGUGAGUAACACGUGGAUAACCUACCUAUAAGACUGGGAUAACUUCGGGAAACCGGAGCUAAUACCGGAUAAUAUAUUGAACCGCAUGGUUCAAUAGUGAAAGACGGUUUUGCUGUCACUUAUAGAUGGAUCCGCGCUGCAUUAGCUAGUUGGUAAGGUAACGGCUUACCAAGGCAACGAUGCAAAGCCGACCUGAGAGGGUGAUCGGCCACACUGGAACUGAGACACGGUCCAGACUCCUACGGGAGGCAGCAGUAGGGAAUCUUCCGCAAUGGGCGAAAGCUUGACGGAGCAACGCCGCGUGAGUGAUGAAGGUCUUCGGAUCGUAAAACUCUGUUAUUAGGGAAGAACAAAUGUGUAAGUAACUAUGCACAUCUUGACGGUACCUAAUCAGAAAGCCACGGCUAACUACGUG
rnacentral:rRNA from 1 species